rnacentral:rRNA from 1 species
GAUGAACGCUGGCGGCGUGCCUAAUACAUGCAAGUCGAGCGAACGGACGAGAAGCUUGCUUCUCUGAUGUUAGCGGCGGACGGGUGAGUAACACGUGGAUAACCUACCUAUAAGACUGGGAUAACUUCGGGAAACCGGAGCUAAUACCGGAUGAUAUUUUGAACCGCAUGGUUCAAAAGUUAAAGACGGUCUUGCUGUCACUUAUAGAUGGAUCCGCGCUGCAUUAGCUAGUUGGUAAGGUAACGGCCUACCAAGGCAACGAUGCAUAGCCGACCUGAGAGGGUGAUCGGCCACACUGGAACUGGGACACGGACCAGACUCCUACGGGAGGCAGCAGUAGGGAAUCUUCCGCAAUGGGCGAAAGCCUGACGGAGCAACGCCGCGUGAGUGAUGAAGGUCUUCGGAUCGUAAAACUCUGUUAUUAGGGAAGAACAUAUGUGUAAGUAACUGUGCACAUCUUGACGGUACCUAAUCAGAAAGCCACGGCUAACUACGUG